AUGUAAUUAGCAGGCUAUAGAUUGUUAUUGGUGCGCGCGGACGAGAAGCUUGCUUCUCUGAUGUUAGCGGCGGACGGGUGAGUAACACGUGGAUAACCUACCUAUAAGACUGGGAUAACUUCGGGAAACCGGAGCUAAUACCGGAUAAUAUUUUGAACCGCAUGGUUCAAAAGUGAAAGACGGUCUUGCUGUCACUUAUAGAUGGAUCCGCGCUGCAUUAGCUAGUUGGUAAGGUAACGGCUUACCAAGGCAACGAUGCAUAGCCGACCUGAGAGGGUGAUCGGCCACACUGGAACUGAGACACGGUCCAGACUCCUACGGGAGGCAGCAGUAGGGAAUCUUCCGCAAUGGGCGAAAGCCUGACGGAGCAACGCCGCGUGAGUGAUGAAGGUCUUCGGAUCGUAAAACUCUGUUAUUAGGGAAGAACAUAUGUGUAAGUAACUGUGCACAUCUUGACGGUACCUAAUCAGAAAGCCACGGCUAACUACGUGCCAGCAGCCGCGGUAAUACGUAGGUGGCAAGCGUUAUCCGGAAUUAUUGGGCGUAAAGCGCGCGUAGGCGGUUUUUUAAGUCUGAUGUGAAAGCCCACGGCUCAACCGUGGAGGGUCAUUGGAAACUGGAAAACUUGAGUGCAGAAGAGGAAAGUGGAAUUCCAUGUGUAGCGGUGAAAUGCGCAGAGAUAUGGAGGAACACCAGUGGCGAAGGCGACUUUCUGGUCUGUAACUGACGCUGAUGUGCGAAAGCGUGGGGAUCAAACAGGAUUAGAUACCCUGGUAGUCCACGCCGUAAACGAUGAGUGCUAAGUGUUAGGGGGUUUCCGCCCCUUAGUGCUGCAGCUAACGCAUUAAGCACUCCGCCUGGGGAGUACGACCGCAAGGUUGAAACUCAAAGGAAUUGACGGGGACCCGCACAAGCGGUGGAGCAUGUGGUUUAAUUCGAAGCAACGCGAAGAACCUUACCAAAUCUUGACAUCCUUUGACAACUCUAGAGAUAGAGCCUUCCCCUUCGGGGGACAAGUGACAGGUGGUGCAUGGUUGUCGUCAGCUCGUGUCGUGAGAUGUUGGGUUAAGUCCCGCAACGAGCGCAACCCUUAAGCUUAGUUGCCAUCAUUUAAGUUGGGCACAUCUUAAGUUGACUGGCCGGUGACCAACCGAGA
rnacentral:rRNA from 1 species